UGUGAGAUGUCCUCAAGGUCACCUGAUCCA
rnacentral:piRNA from 2 species